GACGAACCGUGCGAACGUUGUUCGGAAUCACUGGGCUUAAAGGGCGCGUAGGCGGGCCCGCAAGUCAGGGGUGAAAUCCCACGGCUCAACCGUGGAAGUGCCUUUGAUACUGCGGAUCUCGAGGGAGGUAGGGGCGUGCGGAACUUCCGGUGGAGCGGUGAAAUGCGUAGAUAUCGGAAGGAACGCCGGCGGCGAAAGCGGCUUGCUGGACCCCUCCUGACGCUGAGGCGCGAAAGCCAGGGGAGCGAACGGG
rnacentral:rRNA from 1 species